rnacentral:rRNA from 1 species
AGUGAACGCUGGCGGUAGGCCUAACACAUGCAAGUCGAACGGCAGCACAGUAAGAGCUUGCUCUUACGGGUGGCGAGUGGCGGACGGGUGAGGAAUACAUCGGAAUCUACUUUUUCGUGGGGGAUAACGUAGGGAAACGUACGCUAAUACCGCAUACGACCUACUGGUGAAAGCAGGGGAUCUUCGGACCUUGCGCGAUUGAAUGAGCCGAUGUCGGAUUAGCUAGUUGGCGGGGUAAAGGCCCACCAAGGCGACGAUCCGUAGCUGGUCUGAGAGGAUGAUCAGCCACACUGGAACUGAGACACGGUCCAGACUCCUACGGGAGGCAGCAGUGGGGAAUAUUGGACAAUGGGCGCAAGCCUGAUCCAGCCAUACCGCGUGGGUGAAGAAGGCCUUCGGGUUGUAAAGCCAUUCUGUUGGGAAAGAAAAGCAGCAGGUUAAUACCCCGCUGUUCUGACGGUACCCAAAGAAUAAGCACCGGCUAACUUCGUG